CACGAGCGAAGCCGUUAGUCCAGUUAGCUGUAACUCAGGCAACAACAGGAAACGCAUCACAACCUCAUCGCUCCUGAAACAGGAAACGCAUCACAACAUCCCAUCAGAGAUCAAAGAAAUAUGCAAAUGAUUUAUGGAAAUGUAUUCAAAUGUCCACCGGGGGCAGCGCUGCUCACUUCCCGCUUCCCUUCUUCUUUUUCAUGGUUUAAUUGAUGAGCAGCCAUAGAUGUCAUCCAUUAAUAUGAGUCACUCUGCUGUGGUGAAAAUGUGUUCAAGGUCAUCUGUUCUGAAAUUAGUUAAAUUUCACUUUUAGGGUAGGAAACACACACAACAGGAAGUAUUAAAUAAAAUGAAAUUAAGUACACCCUUCACUCUUUGACAGAUGUUUGGAAGAAGGAAAGUCUGGCUGAGGCAGGAAGGAGCUCCAGUAGCAGUCAGUGUUGCAACAAAGCAGAAGACUGUUGCUCUUAGCAUGUUAGCAUGGGUGUACCGAUGCUGCAUGGAUGCAACAUGAUGACAUCAGCUGUUAGCAGCUCUGCUAAUCCGCCUCCUUUACUUUUGCUGCUGGAGCCUCAGAUCUGAUC